UAUAUUGAAACACCGAUCCUCGUCCGAUCGCUGAAGUUAAGCAACGUCAAGCCCAAUCAGUACCUAAAUGGGUGACUGCUUGGGAGGACCAGGUACUGUAA